ACUGUUAACUUCUUCUUUUGCGGGAGCAAGGCUGCUUCGAGUUCAUUGACUUAAGAGCAAGUACAUCGUUCUUGUUCAGCCAGAGAGAUACCGUUAUCAGCCUUAGUUUCUUCCCUAUGACACCAUGGAACUACACUUUCGACCACGCACGUUUUCUGUUUGCAUCCAAUUUGAUAUUCCUCAAGUAGCAAUGCACCCAACAUCAGAACAUGGAAAACACAGUUCCUUUUUUUACCAUAUCUUUCUUCCAGGGGAAAGAACCACUGCCAAGUUCCACAAAAAAAAAAAAAAAAGUGGCAUCAAAUAUUUGAAUGACAUAGCAUGUAAAAUCAAAUAUUUUUCCAUCAUUUCCAGGACCGUUGCUCUCUGUGUAAAAUAUAAAUAAGGGACAUGCAUGAUAUAAUUGAAUUUCUUGGAUCCCAUUUUUCUUUUACAGUUUCUGGAGAUUUUGAGGGUUUUAGCAGGGCUUUGACGACUUUCUUUUUUUAUCAUUGUUAGAAUUAUUCUUUACCCUUUCUAUACGAAAUUUAUAGGUCAAUGAAUUUAUUUAGUUAUUUGUAAAACAUAUAAGAAGCGAUAAACAAAGAAAAUUGCCUUUUGUCUCCUUUUCUUUUCCGAUUCCAUCUAUUCAGUCAACCCACUGCUGUCUGCUACCUCAGAUCUCUUUUCCUUUUUCUUUACUUAUAUUACACCUAUAGAAGAGUAGAUAUGGAACUCAAAAACAGAGUAGAAGAAGAGAACUGUUUAAUGAACGAAGCUUUGCUGCUUGCUACCAUGUACAUCCUUGGUCUGCCAGUGGAUGUGCAUUUGAGAGAUGGCUCUGUUUACUCUGGAAUCUUCCACACUGCUGCUGUUGAGAAAGAAUUUGGUACUGUUUUGUAGAAAGCAAAAUUGACUAAAAAGGGAAGAUGUGCUACCAAUAUUGCAAAUGGCAGUGUAGUAGAGACACUUGUAAUCCUUGCUGGUGAUCUUGUUCAAGUUGUUGCCAAGGGAGUUCCACUUCCUUUUGAUGGUUUUGCUGGAAAUAUAACUCAUGGUAAUGAAGAAGCUGCUUUUGAAAUUCUCUCUUCUUCUGCCAAUCCACUGAAUGUGACCAGGAAGUUCAAUAAGUCUACCAUGGAUAAAAGUAAAAGUAAUAGGAAAAGGUAGCUGAUAGAAAUUUGUGUUUUAAGGAUAAAGAAAUUUUGGUUUUAAUCUUAUUAUUAUUUGGCUAGUA